rnacentral:rRNA from 1 species
CCUACGGGGGGCAGCAGUAGGGAAUUUUCCACAAUGGGCGAAAGCCUGAUGGAGCAACGCCGCGUGGGUGAAGAAGGUCUUCGGAUCGUAAAACCCUGUUGUUAGAGAAGAAAGUGCGUGAGAGUAACUGUUCACGUUUCGACGGUAUCUAACCAGAAAGCCACGGCUAACUACGUGCCAGCAGCCGCGGUAAUACGUAGGUGGCAAGCGUUAUCCGGAUUUAUUGGGCGUAAAGGGAUCGCAGGCGGUCUUUUAAGUCUGAUGUGAAAGCCUUCGGCUUAACCGGAGUAGUGCAUUGGAAACUGGGAGACGUGAGUGCAGAAGAGGAGAGUGGAACUCCAUGUGUAGCGGUGAAAUGCGUAGAUAUAUGGAAGAACACCAGUGGCGAAAGCGGCUCUCUGGUCUGUAAAUGACGCUGAGGUUCGAAAGCGUGGGUAGCAAACAGGAUUAGAUACCCGGGUAGUC